CCUACGGGUGGCUGCAGUGAGGAAUAUUGGUCAAUGGGCGAGAGCCUGAACCAGCCAAGUCGCGUGAGGGAGUACUGCCCUCUGGGUUGUAAACCUCUUUUGUCGGGGAGCAAAAGCCGGACGUGUCCGGCUGUGAGAGUACCCGAAGAAAAAGCAUCGGCUAACUCCGUGCCAGCAGCCGCGGUAGUACGGAGGAUGCGAGCGUUAUCCGGAUUGAGUGGGUUUAAAGGGUGCGCAGGCGGAUUUUUAAGUCAGCGGUCAAAUCGUGGGGCUCAACCCCAUCCAGCGGUUGAAACUGGGGAUCUAGAGUGGGCGAGAGGUAGGCGGAAGUCGUGGUGUAGCGGUGAAAGGCAUAGAUAGCACGCAGAACCCCGAUUGCGAAGGCAGCAUACCGGUGCACAACUGACGCUCAGGCACGAAAGCGUGGGUAGCGAACAGGAUUAGAUACCCCUGUAGUC
rnacentral:rRNA from 1 species